UUCUUAAUCCAGUCUAUCAUUGAUGAACAUUUGAGUUGGUUCCAAGUCUUUGCUAUUGUCUUCACAGAUACUUUCAUGGGGCAUGCUCUCUCUCAUUUUCUAUAGGUCUGUGCUCCGACACCUCAUCAUGAGAGAGGACUUCCCUAGCCAACUUCUCUGACCUCCCUAGGGCUCAGGUUCAAGGACAAUUGCCUGAAAGAGACCUCUUCUGAUCUCACCUUGUUCACAACGGUCCCAAAAUCUGUCAAAAGCAAGAAUGGUGUUUUGGAGAAGGAAGGAGGUAGGACUAUGUCCAUGUUUAAGGCAAUGUGAAACAAGAUGAGAAAGGGCGGCUGCAGCACAUGCAAGAUUUGGGGAGAAGAAAUCAAAAGUUGAACUUGGAGCACACAGUGGAUGGCAAUCACCAGGAACAUUUAAGUCUGACCCCCAGGAACCCUCAGGAGUAAAGGAGUGAUGAUGAGGGGAUGGAUUACCCAAGUUACUUGAAAUGAGAACUCCAUCAUUUACUCUGGAUCUUUAAGAGUUAAGUAUGACAUGCCGAUAGGAUUGGAGAAUCUGGGGACAUUCCAGUUCUACUAAAUUGAUGACAAUGAUCAACAUAUUUCACAAUUCUAUUUCUCUUUUCAGGUAGAAUUAUUUUUCACUGCAAAGUAUUCAUUAUUGGGAAAAGUAGGUUUUAAAAAAAAUUAACUUAUAUUUAAUUUAUUUAUUUUCUUAGCAUUCUGACAAAUAGAGGCAAAAAAAGCCAAGACAUUCUUAGGCUUAGGAGAGAGAGACGUAGAAAGCCCCAAAUAAAAUAUCGAAAUCUUUCUUCUACUUUUGCGAAGUGGUUUUUCUUUUAGGAAGAAAUAGAUGGCUAUAGCUGUGUAAAUCUCUUCUCAGAAGAAGUGAUAUGGUAAAGGAAGGAGAUCAUCAGAAUCUCUUUAAUCAUCUGUCAAAUGUUAUUCGUUGCAUUCUAUUAACAAUGUUUUCCUCUUUGGAACAGCUGUCUCCUGUGCUAUAAGCAGUAAUGAAGAAUUGUUAACUGCAUAUUGAGAAAGAAAUCUACUGCCUGAGGGUUUUGCAACAUCAGGAAGUCUAAGAAAAGUCAUGCAACCAAAAUGUUCUACAAAACACAAACUUAGAGAAAAUGCUUCAAAGGGUGCUGAAGACUGAAAUGUACAGAUAUUUGAUGGAAAACUCAGAAAAGAUACAACAAAUACCUCAAGAAACAGAGGAUAGCCACCAUUCUCUUGAUCAGCAUCAUCCUCACUGUCCUCAGAGCUGAAGUAUACUCGGUGCUAGGCACUGAGAAUCUAUAGGCUCUGAAGAAAAGCUCUGCUAAUCUACAACAUAGCUGGGAUUGCUCUUUAAAUAUUUGCACAGGUAUAAAACUGUUACAGGACCGGGCAUGGUGGCUCACGCCUGUAAUCCCAGCACUUUGGGAGGCCGAGAUGGGAGGAUCAUGAGGUCAGGAGA
rnacentral:lncRNA from 1 species